rnacentral:rRNA from 1 species
UGGGGAAUAUUGCACAAUGGGCGAAAGCCUGAUGCAGCGACGCCGCGUGAGGGAUGACGGCCUUCGGGUUGUAAACCUCUUUCAGUAGGGACGAAGCGCAAGUGACGGUACCUGCAGAAGAAGCACCGGCUAACUACGUGCCAGCAGCCGCGGUAAUACGUAGGGUGCGAGCGUUGUCCGGAAUUACUGGGCGUAAAGAGCUCGUAGGCGGUUUGUCACGUCGUCUGUGAAAUCCUAGGGCUUAACCCUGGACGUGCAGGCGAUACGGGCUGACUUGAGUACUACAGGGGAGACUGGAAUUUCUGAUGUAGCGGUGGAAUGCACAGAUAUCAGGAAGAACACCGAUGGCGAAGGCAGGUCUCUGGGUAGUAACUGACGCUGAGGAGCGAAAGCAUGGGUAGCGAACAGG